UACGGAGGGUGCGAGCGUUGUCCGGAAUCACUGGGCGUAAAGGGCGCGUAGGCGGCGCGGGGAGUCAACGGUGAAAGCUCGGCGCUCAACGCCGAGUCGGCCGUCGAUACUCCCGUGCUCGAGCACUGUAGAGGCAGGUGGAAUUCCGGGUGUAGCGGUGGAAUGCGUAGAGAUCCGGAAGAACACCGGUGGCGAAGGCGGGUCUCUGGGCCGAUACUGACGCUGAGGAGCGAAAGCGUGGGGAGCGAACAGG
rnacentral:rRNA from 1 species